AUUGAACGCUGGCGGCAUGCCUUACACAUGCAAGUCGAACGGUAACGGGCCUUCGGGUGCCGCCGAGUGGCGAACGGGUGAGUAAUACAUCGGAACGUGCCCGAUCGUGGGGGAUAACGAGGCGAAAGCUUUGCUAAUACCGCAUACGAUCUACGGAUGAAAGCCGGGGACCGCAAGGCCUUGCGCGGACGGAGCGGCCGAUGGCAGAUUAGGUAGUUGGUGGGAUAAAAGCUUACCAAGCCGACGAUCUGUAGCUGGUCUGAGAGGAUGAUCAGCCACACUGGGACUGAGACACGGCCCAGACUCCUACGGGAGGCAGCAGUGGGGAAUUUUGGAAAAUGGGCGAAAGCCUGAUCAAGCCAUGCCGCGUGCAGGAUGAAGGCAUUCGGGUUGUAAACUGCUUUUGUACGGAACGAAAAGCCUUCUUUUAAUACAGGAGGGUCAUGACGGUACCGUAAGAAUAAGCACCGGCUAACUACGUG
rnacentral:rRNA from 1 species